ACAAUAUAAAUAGCUCAAGCCCCUCACCUGCACAUGUUAAGGCAUGAAAAGUGAAUCGUUUGAAAGCUCCAAAUUUGGAAGUUGAGAACUGGGAAACAAUGAGAAAAACUAGAGACCACAGAAGGGGAGUCUUGGCGUAAUUGGUAAAGUUGCUGUCAUGUGAUUAGGAAGUCACGGGUUUGAGCCGUGAAAACAACUUCUAGCAGAAAUGCAGGGUAACGCUGCGUAGGAUAGACCGUUGUGGUCUGACCCUUCUCCAGACCCCGCACAUAACGAGAGCUUAGUACAUCGAGUUGCCGUUUUGUUGGUUUGGGUGGAAUUUGAAGGACUUUUUUCAUUUUCUGGUCCAAAAGGAGAGUUGUUUAUUUUCCUUAUUU
rnacentral:lncRNA from 1 species